CUCGAACUCCUGACCUCCAGUGAUCCUCCUGCCUUGGCCUCCCAAAGUGCUGGGAUUACAGGUGUCAGCCACCGUGCCCAGCUAACAUUUUAUAGCUUUGAAUUGCCAAAGUUUGCAAUGAGGUCAGCUGCCUUCACCCCAUAUUUUAACACUUUGGGGAAAGAGGAUUUCUGGCCUUCCAUGAAAAAAAAAAACAACCUAAAGAUAAGGUUGGAGAGAUGACAAUGUAGUGGGAAGACAAGGGGAAAAGGGAACACCUAGAUCUAGAACCUGGAAGUAUCUCUUAGGGUGUUUUCACUUGUGCUCACCUGGAGCUUCUAAUACUUCCGGAGGGCUUGAAACCAACUUUUUCUUGCUGGUGUGAGCUGACUGGGUGUCAAUACUAGGGUCACAAAUAUGAAUGAUACAUACAUAUAAAUGCAGAGAGGAUUGGAAAGAUUCCUACCAAGCUGAGUAAAAAGAGGAGUAUACUGGGUGGGGGAGAUGAGAAGAGACUUUGUUUUCUUCUAAUACAGGAGGUACCAAUUGCUUGAAGUGAAUGCAGGCAGCCUGGCUCCAGGACCUAUACUCUUUGCUAUGGGAUCUCUUCAUCUGUCUGCAUCCCUGCUGCCCUUAUGCCACUGGGAUCAGCCAACACAAUGGGCAAACCAUAAAGCCAGGUGAUCUUUGUAGUUCCUCCAUUAACUAUGAUUAUCUAUGAUUAUCUUACAGAAAAAAAGGAAAUGCCAAAGGGAAAAGCAAAAAGGAACAGACAUAUCCAGUUUCAAUACAUUCUCUUUAAACAAACCAGGUUUAUUUGCAGAAUACUGCGUUUCUGUUUUUCAUUGCUUGUUUGCUUUUCCUGAUGAAAAGUUUCUUACCUAACGAGCUGACCUUUCUUCUGGAUAAAAUGAACAAAGAAGUUGGCGAACAAUGAUGCCAUGAAUCUUACUCUUUGCAGAGUUUCUAAAACAGGAUCUAACUUUCGACCCAAACAAGUUGACAAGGUUCCUAUAAGCCACAAUUUCUCCGGCAGAUUUAGAGGCGAAAGUUUAAAGAGAAGAUAAAAGGAAGGCUCUUGCAGAAACCCUGUUCCCUCCACUCUCUGAUGAAGUCAACGCGAGAACGCCCGCACCUCACCUCGGCACUCCACGUCAGGGUCUCCCCAGAAGAGUUCCUGGCACUCGCUGCAGGUGCGGCCUCCAAACCCAGGCAUGCACUGGCACUGCCCUGUGAACUGUGGCCAGAACACAGACCUUAGUCAAGCAGGCUUCAGGCCAGAAGCCAGUUGUCAUCUUUUUUUUCUAGCUGCCAGUUAGAAGUGGGAAUGAACUGUUCACCUGAGAAGGUCUCCAUUGACUAGGAAAAGGGACUUCUGCUUCGAUCGUAGGUGUCGAGAGCCCCAUGCCAGCAUCUAACUGCUCUUUUGCAGCAGGGCUUGGAAAGGUCUGUGGCAUAUUAUUGUUUAUUUACCUGUUCCCUCACUUUUAUCCUCACAGAUCAGCCACAAUCCUGGGCCACCUUUGACUCGCCUGACUUAGGGAGUAUGUCCUCCUUAGUAUGUGUCAGGAAACAACAGCACUUUUUACAAUGCUGGGUAUGGCUAAUUGGUUCCUUUCAAGUUGAGAAGCUAAGAAAAAAGUCUGCUUCAGCGGCCAGGUACUGAAGAGAAGAAGAGAAAUAGCACACCCUUGUCUAUUCUUAUGUGAGUCUGCAUCUGCAGCUGGGACCCUCUAUUGAAAUGCUAUGGGUGUGUCUGAUGGGGAGUCUGUGCACAGUUAUAUAGACCCAGCCAAGGGGUACAAAUGAGGGCUGAGAUCCAGGCCACGCUGUGUUUGCCAAGCCAUGUGCCCUGGGGCCUUGCUGUAACUGGGGCAAAGUCACCAUAAGCUGACCCCUGGGCUCAUAAAGGCAUCAUCCCCAGCAGCAGUCCCUCACCUCAUUGCAAGAUGGCCCGAAGGAAUGAGCAGUGUUGCAGUUGCAUGGGUCACAGCCAGUGCCACUGGCCAGCUGCCAGGUAUUAGGUGCACAGCGGUCACAGUUCUGCCCGAUCACAUUAGGAAGACACAAGCACUGACCAGUGGCUUUGUCGCACUGGCAGUCAGAGCCGUUACAGUGCUCUUGCACGGUGCCCAGGUAAUUACAGACACACUCUGAAAAAGAAUAUCACAUUUACUUAUUGUCACACUCCCAAAUACACAGGCAUGCAGAGACGUUAGCCACAUCUAAACGCUAAGAUGUUCCCACUUCAGAUCCUGACCUUGAAAUGCAAAGAAGGAAAGAAAUGGAGGUGAUUCAAAAAGAAAGCUAAAAUUAUUGUUGUUUAGAAGUUCUCAUGAUGUCUUACACAGUUCUGACAUUUCCCAGAUACACACAAUGAUACAUUUCACCUAAAAGUAUGUUCAAAAUACACAGAUUUGACAAGAUGCUGGUGAGUCAUUUUAAAAUUGAAGGUUUAACUGGAAAUAAUAAAAAAAAAAUGCCAGUGGGAA